AAAAACAACAAAAUUAAUAUAAAUUCACAGAGUGUGUGUCAGUGAUCAUCUGUAAUCGAGAGCAGAGACUCAUCUACUGUAUUCCCAGACCCAUCAGUACGUACAGGGGCACGUGACAUACAACAGAACUUUAUCCAGCAAAUGUUGGAGGAUCAUCACAUGUAUCUCUGUAGUUUUUAUGUGAUACUCCACACAGAGGACAAAGUCUGCUGGAUAUCUGAAUAAAUGUGUCAAAAGUUCUGAAGA